rfam:Triticum aestivum genome assembly, contig: Triticum_aestivum_CS42_TGACv1_scaffold_093904_2AL
AUACUACUUCCUCCGUUUCAAAUUACUCGUCGCAGAAAUGAAUGUAUCUAGAAUUAAAACACAUCUAGAUACAUCUAGAUCUACGACAAGUAAUUUGAAACGGAGGGAGUAGUUC